GAUGAAGAACGUAGUGAAAUGCGAUAAGUAAUGUGAAUUGCAGAAUUCAGUGAAUCAUCGAAUCUUUGAACGCACAUUGCGCCCGCCAGUAUUCUGGCGGGCAUGCCUGUUCGAGCGUCAUUUCAACCAUCAAGCCCCAGGCUUGUGUUGGGGACCUGCGGCUGCCGCAGGCCCUGAAAACCAGUGGCGGGCUCGCUGUCACACCGGGCGUAGUAGAUUUUAUCUCGCUCAGGGCGUGCUGCGGGUUCCGGCCGUUAAAAAGCCUUUUUUACCCAAGGUUGACCUCGGAUCAGGUAGGAAGACCCGCUGAACUUAAGCAUAUCAAUAAGCGGAGGA
rnacentral:misc_RNA from 1 species